rnacentral:misc_RNA from 1 species
GAUGAAGAACGUAGCGAAAUGCGAUAAGUAAUGUGAAUUGCAGAAUUCAGUGAAUCAUCGAAUCUUUGAACGCACAUUGCGCCCGUCAGUAUUCUGGCGGGCAUGCCUGUUCGAGCGUCAUUACGCCCCUCUAGUCCCCUGUGGACUUGGUGUUGGGGAUCGGCGAGGCUGGUUUUCCAGCACAGCCGUCCCUUAAAUUAAUUGGCGGUCUCGCCGUGGCCCUCCUCUGCGCAGUAGUAAAACACUCGCAACAGGAGCCCGGCGCGGUCCACUGCCGUAAAACCCCCCAACUUUUUAUAGUUGACCUCGAAUCAGGUAGGACUACCCGCUGAACUUAAGCAUAUCAAUAAGCGGAGGA